GAGAAGCUAACGGGACAGGCGCGCUAAGUGGCUGCUGCUGCUGCUGCUGCUGCGACACGAAAGUCUUCUUUUUGAAAUGCCCGCACGAAGGUAGGCUCGCUCCUUGAGAAGAGCGGAAUAGCGCCGGACGGAAACGGAGGAACCAAAACUGUGAGGGAAAUGCAAAUAAACAAAGCAGCAGCUCCGGGGAGAAGAAGUCCUACGUGCCGCGCACGAAAGAAACGCGGGGGAAGUUUGUUGCUGGAACCCGGGCAGUGCGCUCUUCUCCGCACAGAAAUUCUGAGCUUGCGCUAGUUUAUCCCGCCAUUCAAUUUGUUAUUUAUUUCGCUGCCCCAGUGCUAAGCAGCAAGUCCUUUUGAGGCUUCCCCUCAGGUGAGUGUUGCAGCUGCGCGCCACGUUAAUUAUUUGGAGCCAAUCCGGGCCGCUCUGGCUUCUCUUUCAGGGCGCGACUUAGCGCUGCAACUUCGGCCGGGCGCGCGGCUGGCCCGGGGACGUGUGCAGAGCGUGCUUUUCCCUGGCUCGGAUGACCACAGCCAACCUCCGCACGCGUCGGAGAUCGCUGGGAAAGAAUUCCAGGCGAAGGCUAUUUGCAGGCCUCUUUUUGUUUAUUGUUACGCCUUUCAGACGCUUAAAAUCUGAAAAGGAAUAAGGCAAAUCAUCUGCAGCUGUAUUCGCAUAGCAGUUUAUCCCAUUUUCACGACUGUUGAUUUCCACAUUACUGCACACUUGAGCUCUCACACAAUUUAAAGCCGUUUCUGGAAUUAUGGUGGAAUACAGUGCAAAGUUUAGCACACAUUCCCGUAUUGUCUGCAAGGGGAUUUACCAAAAUGUCAGAGAAAAGUAGAGGACGACAAGGCAGCAAGUGCAGUUGGACAUUUGUGGACAACUAGUUAAAAUCUUUGGAAGAACUAAAGUCAAAAAGUUAUUAGCAGUAAGAGUUUAUAUUUUGUUCAAGUUCAGGGGCAUUCUUGAGAGUAACACUUUGCUCUUAAGCUUGGAUUUCUGAUUACAAUUAUGAGGGGAGACAAGUUACGUUGAGGGAGGUGAACUCUGCACAUGUUUUCAAGCAUGCUCUUCCAGAUCUCUCUCCAUGAAGCCCGAGUUUAAAAAUUGAAAGAAAUGUCAUCCCUGUAUAGUAUGGAGCAUUAUCCCCAGUUUUUAAAAAUAUGUUUCCCACACCCCUUUUGCCUCUGCUCCUUCCAUUUUCCUACAUCUUUUGGCAUCCCUUCCUAAGGAAAUGAUGCAGUCAGCCUGCUGUGCCUUCUCUACCUCUGCAGAAAAAUAAUUGGAGGUGGGAAAGAAGAGGGAGGUGUUCUUUCUGAUCCCUGCAAAUUGCUACCUUUUGCCUUCCCACCAGAUAUUUCUUUUUCUGCUUAAGAACAUGUUCCUGUAACUAUUUUAGGGUUAUACACCCUCCACCCUGUCACAGAGGCUUUCAGCAAACACGCAGAAGGAACCACCUGGGAAGAUUGUCCUCUCCUCACUUAAGGAGAAGGUUGCAAAUAGGCUUCUAAAAGUGGCCUUUUCUUUCACAGUUCCAGUGACAGAGACCAUAUAACAUUUGAACUAACCUUGCCCUGUGGACAACAGCAAACAGACUUCAGCUUAGUCAACACCAGGUCCAGACUUUUUAACUUCUUCAGUCUUUUUUAUCAGUAUGAAUAACCUAUUGCUUAUCUGUUCUGAUCAAACUACACAUUACAUUAAGCACACGGCUGCUUAACUUGGUUAUUUUAUUUUGAAAGGGGGGAAAAACAGCCGACAAGCAUAAAUCCAAUAACAAACAGCCCACAAGGAUUAGCAGAGGAAUGCUAAUGGCUGCACACGCACCCAGAGAAGCCUUCCUUUUCCAGAAAAAAAGAUGGCAUAUUUACAGGUACAGCUUUCCAGAAGAAAAGAUGGGGCGCAAUCAGAGACAUUUCACCCAUUUUAUCCUCCCACCCAACAACUCAGGUAGGUAUGUUAGGCUGAGGGAUAGUGAUUGGCCUAAGGUCACCCAGUGAGCUUCAUGGCUGACUGAAGAUCUGAACCUCAGGUCUUAGGCUAUGUACCCAUUAGCUAUGUACCCAUUGCACCCUGCUGCAUUUCAAGUUGCAUUUGUACAUUGCUAUACACUGCUGUACACCAUUUAGGGCUGCCAUAAGUCAGACAUAGCUGGGAUUUGUCUGGGCGGAUUUUUUGUUUUUGUUUGUUUUUGUUGUUUUUUUAAUAACUUUUUAUUCAAAAUUAAAACAAAACAUAUUAUCCAGAAACAUAUCAUCCUUAUCCCCUCCAUUUUUCCUCCCUCCCCCUCCCUCCCCCCACAGAACCCCCCCACCCCCGACUUUCCUCAGUUCCAGUCUUUGAUUUCUCUAAAAAUGCUGUUUUCUUCAUGUUACACCGUUGUAUAGAUCCUCAAACUAUUUAGCUGAUUAUUAUCAAUAAAAAGUUUGUGAAUGUUUAUUC
rnacentral:lncRNA from 1 species